ACUUAACUUCAGCGUGUAUGACCUACCUACUAUCCUGGGUUAAUGCCUCCACUAGUCAUGACAAAAUGAGACCGUACCUAUGGUACACUAGAUAUACAAAAGUAUGUGGACAGCCCUUCAAAUGACACAUUGGAUAGAAAAUUACUGAGGAUAAUAGCGGAUGAUAUUGCCACUCGUAUCUGCCAUAUUUGCAAUAUAAGCCUACGAGAGAGUGUGUGCCCUCAGGCCUGGAGGGAAGCUAAAGUCAUUCCGCUACCUAAGAAUAGUAAAGCACCCUUUACUGGCUCAAAUAGUCGACCAAUCAGCCUGUUACCAACCCUUAGUAAACUUCUGGAAAAAAAUGGUGUUUGACCAGAUACAAUGCUAUUUUACAGUAAACAAAUUGACAACAGAAUUCCAGUACGAUUAUAAGGAAGUACAUUCAGCAAACACAGCACUUACACAAAUGACUGAUCAUUGGCUGAGAGAAAGUGAUAAAAAAAAAGAUUGUGGGGACUGAUUUGUUAAACAUCAGUGCGGCUUUUGACAUUAUCGAUCAUAGUCUGUUGCUGGAAAAACGUUUGUGUUAUGGCUUUACACCCCCUGCUAUAUUGUGGAUAAAGAGUUACCUACCUAACAGACCACAGAGGGUGUUCUUUAAUGGAAGCCUCUCCAACAGAAUCCAGGUAUAAUCAGGAAUUCCCCAGGGCAGCUGUCUCGGCCCCUUACUUUCUUCAAGCUUUACUAACGACAUGCCACUGGCUUUCAGUAAUGCCAAUGUGUCUAUGUACAGUGCCUUCGGAAAGUGUUCAGACCCCUUGAAUUUUUCCACAUUUUGUUACGUUACAGCCUUAUUCUAAAAUUGAUUAAGUAAAUACAAAUCCUCAGCAAUCUACAGACAAUUCCCCAUUUUGACAUAGCAAAAACAGGUUUUUGGGAUGUUUUACACAUUUAUUAAAAAUAAGGAACAGAAAUACCUUAUUUACAUAAGUAUUCAGACCCUUCGCAAUGAGACUCAAACUUGAGCUCAGGUGCAUCCUGUUUCCAUUGAUCAUCCUUGAUGUUUCUACAACUUGAUUGGAGACCACCUGUGGUAAAUUCAAUUGAUUGGACAUGAUUUGGAAAGGCACACAACUGUCUAUAUAAGGUCCCACAGUUGGCAGUGCAUGUCAGAGCAAAAACCAAGCCUUGAGGUCAAAGGAAUUGUCCACAGAGCUCCGAGACAGGAUUGUGUCGAGGCACAGAUCUGGGGAAGGGUACUAUAACAUUUCUACAGCAUUGAAGGUCCCGAAGAACACAGUGGCCUCCAUCUUAAAUGGAAGACAAGACUCUUCCAAGAGAUCACUGCCCUGCCAAACUGAGCAAUCUGAUGAGAAGGGCCUUGGUCAGGGAGGUGACCAAGAACCUAAUGGCAGCACUGCCCACUCAAGAUUCUGAGCCUGGCUGGCAGGGUUGGUCCUGCUAAGCCAAAGCCCCCUAAAGGGAGAGCAUACUAUACAAGGACACUCUCAAAUGAGAGUGCUAAUGAGAACCUUGAUGACCUUGUACCAAGCCGGUGGGGAUUCCGGUGGGGUGCCCCCACCCAGGCAGUGGCAGUGCUGGCAACACUAGCUGCAGUAACCCAUGGAGAGGGGGUCACACUCAGACAUUCAGAGAGGGGAAGAUUUUAAUACGGUCUUAAAUACCUCUAUGGACCGGAAAGGAAAUCACACCACAAACUAUCACCCUCAGGCACUUAAGGAAAUCAUGAAUGUCAUGGAUAUAUUGGAAUUAGUGGAUAUAUGGAGACUUAAAUACCGUGAUCUAGUGAGAUAUACAUGGCGGAGGCUUAAUCAAGCUAGUCGUCUUAAUCAAGCUAGUCCUCUUGACUACUUUCUCAUACCAUUCUCUCUGGCACCAAAAGUUUAAAAAGUGUUGAUAAGGGACAGAAUGUGGUCGGAUCAUCACAUAAUUGGCAUAUAUAUAUAUAUGACUCUUACAGAAUUUCCACGUGGGCGAGGAUAUUGGAAAUUUAAUCAAAGCCUACUAGAUGAUAAAUUGUUUAGAACUAGGACAGAAGAAUUUAUAACUGACUUUUUCAGACAUAACAUUAGGUACAUCAGAUCCCCUUACUGUAUGGGACACUUUUAAAUGUGCCUUUAGAGGCAAUGCAAUACAGUACUCAUCUAUAAAACAAGAGCAAUUUCGAUCAAGAGUCCAUAUUAACCAAGGAAAUUGAAGGACGAACAGUGCAGUUAGAUAGCAAUAAAAACUGUACCACAGAGGCACAGAAUAAGUUAGAGUAAAAAACAAAAAGAAACAGGGGACCGUAUUCAAGAAAGAUCCACUGUAAUAUAUUAUAAAAAUAAAGGGAACUGGAUGGAAUAUGGGGGAAAAUGCACCAAAUUAUUUUUCAAUCUUCAGUAUAGAAAUAUAGAAUAUAGAAAUCUUCAAUAUAGAAAUAUAGAAUAUAGAAAUGCUGCUAAUUUUUUUAAAUUAAAACUAGUUUACAAAUGAUGGAGUCUCACAUGAUUCACCGAAUGAUGUUUUGAAAGAGGAAAUAAGGAUAUAUUCUCGUUUCAGUCUCCAUCUCCACUAACCGAAGCUAAUUGUAUGGAUUUAAAAAAAAAUCUGCACAGAAAGACUCACGCGAAGGCCAAAUUACAGAGAAGGAAUUUCAUGAUGCAAUGAAAGCCUUUAUAAGGCUGGGAAAACUCCAGGGCUGGAUGGCGUACCAGUGGAGGUUUACCAAACUCCAGGGCUGGAUGGCGUACCAGUGGAGGUUUACCAAACUCCAGGGCUGGAUGGCGUACCAGUGGAGGUUUACCAAACUCCAGGGCUGGAUGGCGUACCAGUGGAGGUUUACCAAACUCCAGGGCUGGAUGGCGUACCAGUGGAGGUUUACCAAACUCCAGGGCUGGAUGGCGUACCAGUGGAGGUUUACCAAACUCCAGGGCUGGAUGGCGUACCAGUGGAGGUUUACCAAACUCCAGGGCUGGAUGGCGUACCAGUGGAGGUUUACCAAACUCCAGGGCUGGAUGGCGUACCAGUGGAGGUUUACCAAACUCCAGGGCUGGAUGGCGUACCAGUGGAGGUUUACCAAACUUAUUUUGAUAUACUCAGAGGACCAUUAUUAUCAUGUUUUGACCACUCCUAUAUAAAUGGUAGAUUAUCAGACACGCAACAAGAAGGUCUAAUAUCAUUGCUACUGAAACAGGACCCAAGUGUUAUAUAUAAUGAUCCAGUCCAUGUAAAACAUUUGGAGACCUCUUACACUUCAGUGUUGUGAUGCAAAUAUACUGGUUUAACGCGUGCAUAGUUGGGCAUGACAUCUACCACAGGAGAUGGUUAUACAACACUAACUGAUCUGACUCCCGGAUAGAUUACAAGUGAUUUUACUGAUCUGACUCCCGGAUAGAUUAAAAGUGUUUUUCAUCAAGUUCUGAACCACAGUUCUGUCUGAAUCUAUCUGCACCAACACUCCCCUCGUAUCCCACAGAUUCCAGUCAUUCCCGAGAACAGCUGUAACAGCACCUUGUCUGUUUAUUCUACUGCAGUACAAGGCCCUCCCUUCUAGCAGCCCAGCUAUUUGUUGGAGAAGACAUGUUACUGUACAUACUGUAAUGUAGGCUAACCAUACCACCUGUGAAUCUCGAAGGCCACUAACAUUCUAUCUACAGUAUUGUUAUUGUUUGGAUUAACCAGGAACAGGACCGUCUGUGCAGAUGGACACGGAUCGGCUUUCAAAAGACUCAACUUCCACUGUGAGACAUCUAUCUCGGUUCCAUGUAUAUUUACUGGUCCGAUUUAAAAGGGGUCACAGUUGUGGAAAAGCAUUGACAAUGAAGACCUUUGUUUGGCUUGGUUCUUUUUCAGUGUCUUAGUUCCAAUGAUGUCAUCAUUGUGCUGUUGUAUGAAGGAAGUUUAUUCUGAUGAUGUCAUCAUUGUGCUGGUGUAUGAAGGAAGUUUAUUCUGAUGAUGUCAUCAUUGUGCAGGUGUAUGAAGGAAGUUUAUUCUGAUGAUGUCAUCAUUGUGCAGGUGUAUGAAGGAAGUUUAUUCUGAUGAUGUCAUCAUUGUGCUGGUGUAUGAAGGAAGUUUAUUCUGAUGAUGUCAUCAUUGUGCUGGUGUAUGAAGGAAGUUUAUUCUGAUGAUGUCAUCAUUGUGCAGGUGUAUGAAGGAAGUUUAUUCUGAUGAUGUCAUCAUUGUGCUGUUGUAUGAAGGAAGUUUAUUCUGAUGAUGUCAUCAUUGUGCUGUUGUAUGAAGGAAGUUUAUUCUGAUGAUGUCAUCAUUGUGCAGGUGUAUGAAGGAAGUUUAUUCUGAUGAUGUCAUCAUUGUGCUGUUGUAUGAAGGAAGUUUAUUCUGAUGAUGUCAUCAUUGUGCAGGUGUAUGAAGGAAGUUUAUUCUGAUGAUGUCAUCAUUGUGCAGGUGUAUGAAGGAAGUUUAUUCAGAUGAUGUCAUCAUUGUGCAGGUGUAUUAUGGAAGUUUAUUCUGAUGAUGUCAUCAUUGUGCUGUUGUAUGAUGGAAGUUUAUUCUGAUGAUGUCAUCAUUGUGCAGGUGUAUGAAGGAAGUUUAUUCAGAUGAUGUCAUCAUUGUGCAGGUGUAUUAUGGAAGUUUAUUCUGAUGAUGUCAUCAUUGUGCAGGUGUAUGAAGGAAGUUUAUUCUGAUGAUGUCAUCAUUCUGCAGCUGCAUAAUGAGGAUGAUGGUGGUGAGGAGGAUGAUGGUGGUGGUGAAGAUGAUGGUGAUGAGGAUUAUGGUGGUAAAAUGAUGGUGAUGAG